UACGAAGGGUGCAAGCGUUACUCGGAAUUACUGGGCGUAAAGCGUGCGUAGGUGGUUCGUUAAGUCAGAUGUGAAAGCCCCGGGCUCAACCUGGGAACUGCAUUUGAAACUGGCGGGCUUGAGUAUGGCAGAGGGGGGUGGAAUUCCGCGUGUAGCAGUGAAAUGCGUAGAGAUGCGGAGGAACACCGAUGGCGAAGGCAGCCCCCUGGGCCAAUACUGACGCUCAGGCACGAAAGCGUGGGGAGCAAACAGG
rnacentral:rRNA from 1 species